CAGAGUAGAGAUUUGUCACCCAUCUCCUGCUCCUGCAAACGUGUGGCUUCCCCUGCCAGAGGGGUGCAUUUGUCCCCAAUAGUGAGCCUACACUGACCCGUCAUUGUCACCCAAAGCCCAAAGUUUACCUUAGAGUUCACUCUGGGUGUCGCGCAUUCUAUGGGUUUGGAUAAAGGUGUGGUGACAUAAGUCCGUCAUCAUAAUGUCAUACAGAGCAAAAUCCUCUGCCUGCUUGUCCCCUCCUGCCCCCAGCCCCUGCCAACCACUGAUCAUUCCACCGUCUCCAUAGUUUUGCCUUUUCCAGAAUGUUCUGUAGUUGCAAUAACAGCCUUUUCAGACUGGCUUCUUUCAGUCAUUCGUAUGCUGCCUGACUGGCUUUAUGUUUCCUCCCUGGCUUCUCACUGGCAUCUGCUUUGCAACGGAUGCUGCACGCACCCUAUCCAGGACCGAGAGGAUCUGACAGCCCAUGGUGUCCCCAUCGCUAACGGUCACCAGAACCCAGCCGCCUGCACUUUCUCUCUGCAGAUGCCGGCAGCUCCCUUGUUCGCUCUCCUCUGGAUGGGAGUCUGAAGAAUUUCAGGAAUGUGCUACAAGCCACGUCUGCUUGGUAGACUAACACGGCCCCAGCUGGGAUGCGACCUGGCGACUUUCCCCUGUGGUUUCCCGGACCCCAGAAGCACCAGGUGUGCAGGGGAAAGGAAAUAGACCCGAUACCAAGG